rnacentral:lncRNA from 1 species
AAGGUCUUGUGGUGACGAUGAUUUUUUGUUGAAUUUGUAACUGACCGACAUCAUCAUGCUCGCCAUCCUGGUUCCAUGACACAACAAUGGUAAGAAAUUAAUAUUUUUAUAUUCUAUCUUUGUGACAUGAGUGAGAGUAAGUCUAGACAUAACUUUUUGGCAUGAACGCGACAGAUUAUUAGCCUAAAAAAUGUCAUGUUUCAUAGACAAGCGUGCCUCAACAGGUCCAUUGCAUUGGAUUCUCUACAAACUCAAAUAUUAAUACGAAGGUUUCAAGUGAAAAGCAAUGAUAUAGCCAUGUAUUGACAUUACCUUUGUUUUACCAUGUAGUGUUUGUAACUGAGAAAUGCCAGUAUGAUUUGAUUGGAGAUUUUCCUACAGAACUAACAAGUAUGAGUAAAAUAUUGAUAUAAAUGCAUACAAAAGGAAGGGACAAAGAAGUCAUUUACCUCUUCUAUUCCAUUAUUCCCUUUGGCAUGUUCCAAACAAUUGGCAAGCUUGUUCCAAAAGGCUAGCUUUCUUCAUUCCAUUUUACAACUAUUCUUUGCCCCUUUGGCAUGUUCCAAAAAAAUUGACAAGCUUGUUCUCCUGUGCUUGCGUACUUCCUUAUGUAAUACAAGAUUAAGAAAAGUACUAAUUAAGUGUCAAUAAAACCAUUACAAGUAAAGGCAGAUUAAAUAAU